ACUGUGGUAAUUCUAGAGCUAAUACAUGCGAGAAGCGCCGACCUCGCGGGAGGCGUGCAUUUAUCAGACCAAAAACCGGCCGCGUCUUCGGGCGCGUUCGCCUUGGUGACUCUGGAUAACUUUGCGGAUCGCACGGUCUAGCACCGGCGACGGAUCAUUCAAGUGUCUGCCCUAUCAACUUUCGUCGGUACGGUAUUUGCCUACCGAGGUUCUUACGGGUGACGGGGAAUCAGGGUUCGAUUCCGGAGAGGGAGCCUGAGAAACGGCUACCACAUCCAAGGAAGGCAGCAGGCGCGCAAAUUACCCAUUCCCGACGCGGGGAGGUAGUGACGAAAAAUAACAAUGCAGGACUCGUUCGAGGCCCUGUAAUUGGAAUGAGUACACUUUAAAAGCUUUAACGAGUAUCCAUUGGAGGGCAAGUCUGGUGCCAGCAGCCGCGGUAAUUCCAGCUCCAAAAGUAUAUAUUUAAGUUGUUGCGGUUAAAAAGCUCGUAGUUGGAUUUUGGGCGCAGGCGGCCGGUCCGUCGCAAGGCGUGUACUGGACGUCCUGGCCUUCCCUCCGGUUCUCCGUCGGUGCUCUUGACUGAGUGUCGGCGGCGGCCGGAACGUUUACUUUGAAAAAAUUAGAGUGUUCAAAGCAGGCUCUCGAGCCUGGAUAAUGGUGCAUGGAAUAAUGGAAUAGGACCUCGGUUCUAUUUUGUUGGUUUUCGGAGCGCGAGGUAAUGAUUAAGAGGGACAGACGGGGGCAUUCGUACUGUGCCGUUAGAGGUGAAAUUCUUGGAUCGGCGCAAGACGAACGACUGCGAAAGCAUUUGCCAAGAAUGUUUUCUUUAAUCAAGAGCGAAAGUCAGAGGUUCGAAGACGAUCAGAUACCGUCCUAGUUCUGACUAUAAACGAUGCCAACUAGCGAUCGGGGGGCGUUACAUUGACGACCCCUCCGGCAGCUUACGGGAAACCAAAGUCUUUGGGUUCCGGGGGAAGUAUGGUUGCAAAGCUGAAACUUAAAGGAAUUGACGGAAGGGCACCACCAGGAGUGGAGCCUGCGGCUUAAUUUGACUCAACACGGGAAAUCUCACCCGGCCCGGACACAGUGAGGAUUGACAGAUUGAGAGCUCUUUCUUGAUUCUGUGGGUGGUGGUGCAUGGCCGUUCUUAGUUGGUGGAGCGAUUUGUCUGGUUAAUUCCGAUAACGAACGAGACUCUGGCUUGCUAAAUAGUUACGCGACCAUCCCGGUCGGCGUUUAAC
rfam:Ciona savignyi cont_42631, whole genome shotgun sequence.